GGCCAGACUCCUACGGGAGGCAGCAGUGGGGGAUAUUGCACAAUGGGGGAAACCCUGAUGCAGCGACGCCGCGUGGGUGAAGAAGUAUUUCGGUAUGUAAAGCCCUAUCAGCAGGGAAGAAAGAAGACGGUACCUGACUAAGAAGCCCCGGCUAACUACGUGCCAGCAGCCGCGGUAAUACGUAGGGGGCAAGCGUUAUCCGGAUUUACUGGGUGUAAAGGGAGCGUAGACGGCAGUGCAAGUCUGAAGUGAAAGCCCCGGGCUUAACCCGGGAAUUGCUUUGGAAACUGUACGGCUGGAGUGCUGGAGAGGUAAGCGGAAUUCCUAGUGUAGCGGUGAAAUGCGUAGAUAUUAGGAGGAACACCAGUGGCGAAGGCGGCUUACUGGACAGUAACUGACGUUGAGGCUCGAAAGCGUGGGGAGCAAACAGGAUUAGAUACCCGCGUA
rnacentral:rRNA from 1 species